rnacentral:misc_RNA from 1 species
UCUCUCUCUUUCUUUCUUUCUUUCUUUCUUCCUUCCUCCGCUUCUUUCCUCCCUGAAACGAAUCAGUGCGGGUCUCAUACACCACGUGGGGAUUGUUGGAUUGAAUCUUCGUCAUUAGUCCUAUUGAAACAUGAAUCCGGAAAAGUUGAAACAAUUGCAAGCUCAGGUCCGAAUUGGUGGCAAGGGUACCGUGCGAAGGAAGAAGAAGGUCGUGCACCGCACAGCAACCACCGAUGAUAAAAAACUUCAGUCAUGCCUUAAAAAGUUAUCCGUCAAUAACAUCCCGGGUAUUGAAGAAGUCAACAUGAUCAAAGAGGACGGAACAGUCAUUCACUUUAAUAAUCCUAAGGUUCAAGCUUCGCUCGGAGCAAACACAUUUGCCAUCAACGGACACGGCGAAAACAAAGUUAUUACGGAACUUAUCCCCUCCAUUUUGAAUCAACUCGGCCCGGAGUCCCUCACUCACCUGCGAAAAUUGGCACAUAACAUUCGAUCUAAUGAGGAUGGAGGUGCAGAAAAUAAUAACGGCGAGGAUGACGAUGAUGUUCCCGACUUAGUCGAGAACUUUGAUGAAGCCUCUAAGAACGAAGAAGGUGUCAAGUCAGAUGGUGACAAAGAUGCUUCCACCAAACUUUAAGUUCGUUAACUUAUUUAAAUUUAUAUAAAUUAACUUCUUAAAGAAAUUAACUCCUUCAGAAGACAAAGACGAAGACAAGGAAAACAAGGAUAAGUGAUCCUCAUUAAAAUAAAAACAAAAAAAAAUUAUAAUAAAAUGUUUCUUAUGAAAUCUUCGCGCGCAGAGAGUUUGUAUAAUCAUCCCUUAAUUAUAAAUUUAUUUUCCUUUUUUUUGAUAGUGUAUCAAAAGAAAAAUUCCUUUUGUCAAAAAUAAAAUAUGAAUUAAAGGGAAGUGAAUUAGUUAAAUAUUUUGAGCUGUUUAUAAAUCCUUUGAUUCUCAUACUUAGUA